GAAAAAUAUUUAAAACUUAAAAACAAAACCACUUUGUUGAUAUGAUUUGUGAGAUGUGUGAAUGUCACUUAGGUUACUGCUGAUGUAGCCAGUAUGCAGGACAGCUGAUUAGGGUUCUCAUCAGUUAUUGACGGGUUAUUGUGUGGUGCAGCCCAUGGAGCGGAGCUCUCUGAAGAACAGCGACGUCCUCAUCCUAACAGGCCUGACCCGGACCCCACCGCCAACCCGGAUGGCAUGCUGGGAGGAUUCUGCAGCAACCUGGCCAUGACGAUCCGUGCCGGUGCCGUGGUAUUCGUCCGGGGUCAUCUGUGACCUGC
rnacentral:lncRNA from 1 species